rnacentral:rRNA from 1 species
AUUGAACGCUAGCGGGAUGCUUUACACAUGCAAGUCGAACGAGUGGCGGACGGGUGAGUAAUAUAUCUGAACGUGCCCCGUAGCGGGGGAUAACUACUCGAAAGAGUGGCUAAUACCGCAUACCCUCGGAUGUGCCCAGAUGGGUUUAGCUUGUUGGUGGGGUAACGGCUCACCAAGGCGACGAUCCCUAGCUGGUCUGAGAGGAUGACAAGCCACACUGGAACUGAUACAAGGUCCAGACCCCUAGGGGAGGCGGCAGUGGGGAAUAUUGCACAAGGGGCGCAAGCCUGAUGCAGCCAUGCCGCGUGUAUGAAGAAGGCCAGAGGGUUGUAAAGUACUUUCAGUCGGGAGGCGUUACCGACAGAAGAAGCACCGGCUAACUCCGUGCCAGCAGCCGCGGUAAUUC